GACCUAAUAGUGAAAUUGGUAUCGCAUCUACUCCCCAUUCCAUUGCGCAUUGUGCGGAAGGUGGAGUCCCUCGUUCGAAUCGGGGCCAGGUCA